GACGAACGCUGGCGGCGUGCUUAACACAUGCAAGUCGAACGGAAAGGCCCUGCUUUUGUGGGGUGCUCGAGUGGCGAACGGGUGAGUAACACGUGAGUAACCUGCCCUUGACUUUGGGAUAACUUCAGGAAACUGGGGCUCAUACCGGAUAUGAGCUCCUGCUGCAUGGUGGGGGUUGGAAAGUUUCGGCGGUUGGGGAUGGACUCGCGGCUUAUCAGCUUGUUGGUGGGGUAGUGGCUUACCAAGGCUUUGACGGGUAGCCGGCCUGGGAGGGUGACCGGCCACAUUGGGACUGAGAUACGGCCCAGACUCCUACGGGAGGAAGCAGUGGGGAAUAUUGCACAAUGGGCGGAAGCCUGAUGCAGCAACGCCGCGUGCGGGAUGACGGCCUUCGGGUUGUAAACCGCUUUCGCCUGUGACGAAGAGUGAGUGACGGUAAUGGGUAAAGAAGCACCGGCUAACUACGUG
rnacentral:rRNA from 1 species